rnacentral:tRNA from 1 species
GGGAUUGUGGCUAAUCGGUAGAGCACUCGCCUAGCAUGUGGGAGGCCCUGGGUUCGAUCCUCAGCACCA